rnacentral:rRNA from 1 species
UGCCUGUUUAUCAAAAACAUGGCCUUGUAUUUAUGUAAGGUCUGGCCUGCCCACUGAUUAUUUGAAGGGCCGUGGUAUUUUAACCAUGCGAAGGUAGCAUAAUCAUUUGCCUUUUAAUUGGAGGCUAGAAUGAAGGGUCGUUCGAGGGAUUGACUGUCUCUAAUCUUUACUUGAAAUUAAUUUUUUAGUGAAAAAGCUAAAGUAAUCUUGAAGGACGAUAAGACCCUAUAGAUCUUUAUAGAAAUAAGAUUAGAAAUUGGUUGUAAAUUCUUUUUAGCUUUUUCUAUUGAGUUGGGGCGACGCUAUAUGAAGAUAUAACAUUUAGUUUAUUAAAACACUUACACGUGCUGAUAAGAUCCUGAUAUGAGAAAAGGAAAUAGUUACCUUAGGGAUAACAGCGUAAUGUUUUUUGAAAGUUCAAAUUGACAAAAACGUUUACGACCUCGAUGUUGGUUCAGGGAUCCUAUUUAGCGCAGUAGCUUUAUAAGGGAGUCUGUUCGACUUUUAAAUCCCUACAUGAUCUGAGUUCAAACCG